CACGUAGGGGGCGAGCGUUGUCCGGAUUUAUUGGGCGUAAAGAGCUCGUAGGCGGUUCGAUAAGUCGGGUGUGAAACCUCCAGGCUCAACCUGGAGACGCCACCCGAUACUGUCGUGACUGGAGUCCGGUAGGGGAGCGUGGAAUUCCUGGUGUAGCGGUGAAAUGCGCAGAUAUCAGGAGGAACACCAGCGGCGAAGGCGGCGCUCUGGGCCGGUACUGACGCUGAGGAGCGAAAGCGUGGGUAGCAAACAGG
rnacentral:rRNA from 1 species